GUGGGGAAUCUUCCGCAAUGGACGAAAGUCUGACGGAGCAACGCCGCGUGAGUGAAGAAGGUUUUCGGAUCGUAAAGCUCUUUCGUUAGGGACGAACGUGCUCUUUGUGAAUAAUGAGGAGUAAUGACGGUACCUAAAUAAGAAGCCACGGCUAACUACGUGCCAGCAGCCGCGGUAAUACGUAGGUGGCAAGCGUUGUCCGGAAUUAUUGGGCGUAAAGCGCGCGCAGGCGGGAUAUCAAGUCUGUCUUAAAAGUGCGGGGCUCAACCUCGUGAGGGGACAGAAACUGGUAUUCUUGAGUGUCGGAGAGGAAAGUGGAAUUCCAAGUGUAGCGGUGAAAUGCGUAGAGAUUUGGAAGAACACCAGUGGCGAAGGCGACUUUCUGGACGAUGUCUGACGCUGAGGCGCGAAAGCUAGGGGAGCGAACGGGAUUAGAAACCCUGGUAGUCC
rnacentral:rRNA from 1 species